GUGGACCCGGUACACCGUCGGUCACUGCGCGCCGCCCCCAAUACAACUCUCGGCGCCUGCGCAGCUGGGAAAGGCGACCGUGCGGUGAGGCCUUUCCUCGGUUCUCUUACUGGUUUGGGUAUCAGAGCGCCACGGAGACGUCAGACCGAACCCGGCUAGGUUUGUUGGCUCCGAUGGCCUGAGGCGUGCCUGCUGGUUUCGCAGUGCGGAGUUUCGAGUGCCUUCCGUGCUGAAAACUUAGAAAAAGUCCUAUGCUGUCUUUUUUAGCUUGCCUAUCCGUCUGACCCGUGAGAACUGAGACCAACACUCCACGACAUCUGGACAGCCUGCCUUGUCGGAGCCUCCCUGAGUGGGGAUUUCUUUCUUGAGUGGGGACCAAAAGCCCAGUGCUGCCAGAGAGACAAUUAACAAACACAUAAAAGAGUGAGUAAUUACCAUGAACUUUUCAAAAAAGGACUUGCGCAUCUUCGGACUUUGGUAUGUGGGGGGGUCCAGGAACCAACCCCUGCAGAAACUGAGGGACAACUGUGCUCAUCAUCCAGCUUCAACAACAAUCAACUUUCUGGUUUUCUCAUUUCAUCUAUCCCUUUCUGCAUUUUUUUUCCUGUAUGUUAAAGCAAAUCCUGGACAUCAUGUCAUCUCACAUAUAAAUACUUAAGUGUGUGUCUCUCAUAAGAACUUUAAAAAAUACUAUCACGCUCAUCAAAAUUAAAAAUAAUUCUUUAACAUCA